rnacentral:ncRNA from 1 species
AUGUUGUAUGAAAAGUUAGCGUUUCGCUUGACAAGUAAGGAAUGGCCUCCGGGCCGAAACACAUGAUAUUAUACUUAUUGCCAGUUUCAGCUGGAAUUUUAUCCAGCUGUUAC